rnacentral:lncRNA from 1 species
GUGUUUACAUGCAUCUUUAGAUUUUUUUUAUUUGCAUAACCUCCGUUACAUUGAUGAGUCCUAAAUAAUCUUGAAAAUGUUUGCCAUAAACCGCUGUUAAAGUUAUGAUUGUCGUCGUAAUUACACAAGUUGUGUUGUAGACUAUUUCAAAUCUAAGAAAAUGGCUGAUAUAACGUUUAUUAAACGUUAUAAUGUUGCUCACAUAAUAGGGAAAAAACAAGUUAACAUACCUUUCUCAAAACAACAUUUUUUUUCUCAAAAUCUGUAUUUUGUUUGUCUGUUUCCUUUAUAAUAAAUGAUGUCUGCUACAAAAAUGACUUUCGGCAGUGUCGGCAGCCGCUGAUACUGAUAAAAAAGUCUCACAACUUAACUGUAAAUAACUGCGUCACGGAGGUUAUUUAAACGGAGGUUAGUUUUAUUUACAUUAUACAUGGAAAUAUGUAACAAUAUUGUUGAGUUGCUUUCUCAAAACUGAUUAUUGAGAAGCUUUAUGGGUGCUUUCAAUGAAAUAAUCAUCAUUUUGAUUUGUUCUUGGUUAGUGCGUUCCAAAAUACGCGUUACGUAGGUUGGAUUCUUAUAUGCGACAAUCGAAAAAAAGAGAAAGAGAAGAUUUUUUUUUAUUUUUCGUUUCAUUGCAAUAAAAGUUAAAG